rnacentral:rRNA from 1 species
GACGUAGGGGGCAAGCGUUGUCCGGAAUUAUUGGGCGUAAAGCGCUCGUAGGCGGAUCGGUAAGUCUGUGAAGAAAGACCCGGGCUCAACUCGGGGAACGGCAUAGAUACUGCUGAUCUUGAGACAGUCAGAGGAUGAUGGAAUUCCAGGUGUAGCGGUGAAAUGCGUAGAUAUCUGGAGGAACACCAGUGGUGUAGACGGCUUUCUGGACCGUAACUGACGCUGAGACACGAAAGCGUGGGUAGCAAACAGG